rnacentral:rRNA from 1 species
UACGAAGGGGGCUAGCGUUGCUCGGAAUUACUGGGCGUAAAGGGCUCGUAGGCGGCCAACUAAGUCGGACGUGAAAUCCCCAGGCUCAACCUGGGAACUGCGUCCGAUACUGGAUGGCUUGAAUUCGGGAGAGGGAUGCAGAAUUCCAGGUGUAGCGGUGAAAAUGCGUAGAUAUCUGGAGGAAUACCGGUGGCGAAGGCGGCAUCCUGGACCCGACAUUGACGCUGAUGGGGCGAAAAGCUAGGGGGAGCAAACGGGG